rnacentral:lncRNA from 1 species
CCCUCCUUUUAACCCCGGCACUGGGUGAUGGCGGAGCAGCUGCGGGAGUAGGGGUUGGCCUGGGCGCCAGGGCGGCAGUUGUAGUAGGAGGCGCCGCGGCGGGAGCAGGGCACGGUGUCGCGCUUGAGGGCGCCGUAGCUGAUGUAGCUGGAUGUAGCGAGGAUGCGGCGGGUCACCUCGGAUCCGAGGUCGAACUCUUCACCGGCGAGGCACUCCGCGAUGGUGCCACGGCAGCCGGCAAGCGCCGGGAUCCAGCCGAGGGGAAGCUCGCCCCCUUCUCCGCUUGCGGCGGCCGGGGUGAUGGCGGCCGCACCUGCAACGAGGAGGAUGGCCGCCACAAGGAGGGAGCUUUCCACCAGCUUCGCCAUUCUUUCUCUAAGGAGACGAAAGAAAAAGAAGACUCUCUCUCUCUCUUUUAGUACGAGUAGUUGCCUGGCGCUCUCCUUUCUUUGUACUAAUAACUCGUGAGGGAGGGAGGAAGAUGACCAGAGAAGG